UGUCUCCUGCCAUGUUGGUUAAUUAGCUCCCAACCCCUUGAGCCUAUUUGCAAAAAACCGGGAGCCGGACCACGCUAGGCGUGCAGGCCCGCCUUUGCAGCGGGAAGCCCAAAAGCGUGAAAACGCACCCACUUGAGACGCACGUCUCAAGGUGACCGAGCCAAUGACGGCAUGUGCGGGAGACAC
rnacentral:other from 1 species